CCAAUAGCGUAUAUUAAAGUUGCUGCGGUUAAAAAGCUCGUAGUUGAAUUUCGGAAUUGAUGCAUCGGUCGUGCCUUAAGGGGCAUGAACUGGUGUAGCCAAUUUCUCACCUUCUGGUGAAUUGUUGAUGUUCUUAAUGGGUGUCUCAAUGAACUAGAAUUUUUUACUUUGAAAAAAUUAGAGUGUUUAAAGCAGGCAUUAAUUUGCUUGAAUACAUUAGCAUGGAAUAAUGAAAUAGGACAGUGGUUCCGUUUUGUUGGUUUCUAGGAUCACGUAAUGAUUAAUAGGGAAAGUUGGGGGCAUUAGUAUUCAAUUGUCAGAGGUGAAAUUCUUGGAUUUAUUGAAGACUAACUAUUGCGAAAGCAUUUGCCAAGGAUGUUUUCAUUAAUCAAGAACGAAAGUUAGGGGAUCAAAGACGAUUAAGUACGUCGUAGUCCUAACCAUAAACUAUACCGACUAGGAAUCAGACGAUGUUAAUUUUUUAAUGACUCGUUUGGUACCUUACG
rnacentral:rRNA from 1 species